rnacentral:rRNA from 1 species
GAUGAACGCUGGCGACGUGCCUAAUACAUGCAAGUCGAGCGAACAGACGAGGAGCUUGCUCCUCUGACGUUAGCGGCGGACGGGUGAGUAACACGUGGAUAACCUACCUAUAAGACUGGGAUAACUUCGGGAAACCGGAGCUAAUACCGGAUAACAUGUUGAACCGCAUGGUUCAACAGUGAAAGACGGUCUUGCUGUCACUUAUAGAUGGAUCCGCGCCGCAUUAGCUAGUUGGUAAGGUAACGGCUUACCAAGGCAACGAUGCGUAGCCGACCUGAGAGGGUGAUCGGCCACACUGGAACUGAGACACGGUCCAGACUCCUACGGGAGGCAGCAGUAGGGAAUCUUCCGCAAUGGGCGAAAGCCUGACGGAGCAACGCCGCGUGAGUGAAGAAGGUCUUCGGAUCGUAAAACUCUGUUAUUAGGGAAGAACAAAUGUGUAAGUAACUAUGCACGUCUUGACGGUACCUAAGCAGAAAGCCACGGCUAACUACGU